UCCGGUUGGGCCCUCGGGUCUCCCCGGAGCGGCGGCACCUCCUCCGCCUCCUCAGCCUCCUCCCGGCGGAGACCCCAGCGCCGGGUCUCCCUUCUCUCCACCGACCAGAGAUGGAGGCAAACCAGGCAGGCAGCGGUGCCGGGGGUGGCGGGAGCAGCGGCAUCGGGGGCGAGGACGGGGUCCACUUCCAGAGUUACCCCUUUGACUUCCUGGAAUUCCUCAACCACCAGCGCUUUGAGCCCAUGGAGCUAUAUGGGGAGCAUGCCAAGGCAGUGGCGGCCCUGCCUUGCACCCCAGGGCCCCCACCCCAGGCCCCACCCCAGCCUCCUCCGCCCCAGUAUGACUACCCACCCCAGUCCAAUUUCAAACCCAAGGCGGAGGCUCCUUCCUCAUCCUCAUCUUCCUCCUCAUCUUCCUCAUCUUCGUCUUCCUCAUCCUCUUCCCAAGCCAAGAAGCUGGAGGCGCCAUUGCCGCCCGCCUUCGGGGCGCCGCCCCCUCCACUCUUUGAUGCUGCCUUCCCUGCUCCGCAGUGGGGAAUUGUUGACCUCUCUGGACACCAGCACCUGUUCGGGAACUUGAAACGAAGCGGACCCACACCUGGGCCUGGGGUAGCGUCAGGACUGGGUGCUCCCACCGGGACUCCGGGGCCACUUCCCACACCCACGCAGACCCCGCCUGGGCCCACGGUAGGGGCAGCCUGUGAUCCAACCAAGGACGACAAGGGCUAUUUCCGAAGGCUGAAAUACCUGAUGGAGCGGCGCUUCCCAUGUGGGGUUUGCCAGAAGUCCUUCAAACAGUCCUCACAUCUGGUCCAGCACAUGCUAGUGCACUCUGGGGAGCGGCCAUACGAAUGUGCCGUCUGUGGCCGCACCUACAACCACGUCUCCAGUCUCAUCCGCCACCGACGCUGCCAUAAGGACGUGCCACCCACAUCUGGGGGUACGCCACAGCCUGGGCCUCCACUUCCUUCACUCGGCCUCCCGGUGCCCACAGCCAGUGCCACUGCUACUUCCGCCCCCGCCACAGUGUCCUCCGGCCCCUCCUCCACACCUGCAACGCCUGCCACCUCCACGGAUGGGAACAGCACCACCCCUGCUGCCCCGCCCGGGGUGGCCAUGCCUCCCCCCCCCACUGCUGGCGGGGAGGGCCCAUUUGCCUGUUCCCUCUGCUGGAAGGUCUUCAAGAAGCCCAGCCAUCUCCACCAGCACCAGAUCAUCCACACGGGCGAGAAACCCUUCUCCUGCUCCGUGUGCAGCAAAAGCUUCAACCGGAGGGAGAGCCUCAAGCGGCACGUAAAAACACACUCGGCCGACCUGCUGCGCCUGCCCUGUGGGAUCUGCGGUAAGGCUUUCCGUGAUGCCUCCUACCUCCUCAAGCACCAGGCGGCCCACGCCGGGGCCGGGACCCCACGGCCGGUGUACCCCUGCGACCUGUGCGGGAAGACAUACUCGGCGCCACAGAGCCUGCUUCGACACAAAGCUGCCCACGCCCCACCUGUGGCCACCGAGCCGGCCAAGGACGGGUCGGCCUCGGUCCCACAGCCACCUCCCACCUUCCCCCCAGGCCCCUACCUCCUGCCCGCGGACCCGACUACCACCGACGAGAAAGCCACGGCGGCCGCAGCGGCUGUGGUGUAUGGUGCGGUGCCUGUCCCACUUCUCAGCGCGCAUCCGCUGCUGCUCGGCGGAGCAGGGAACGGCGGCGCCGGCGGCCCCGGCGCCAGCGGCCCCGGCAAGACGUUCUGCUGUGGCAUCUGCGGGCGCGCAUUUGGGCGCCGCGAGACCCUGAAACGCCACGAGCGCAUCCACACCGGCGAGAAGCCCCACCAGUGCCCGGUGUGCGGGAAGCGCUUCCGCGAGUCCUUCCACCUGAGCAAGCACCACGUGGUGCACACCCGGGAGCGGCCCUACAAGUGCGAGCUGUGCGGCAAGGUCUUCGGCUACCCGCAGAGCCUCACACGCCACCGGCAGGUGCACCGGCUCCAGCUGCCCUGCGCCCUGGCUGGAGCGGCAGGCCUCCCCACUGGCCAGGGCACGGCUGGGGGCUGUGGCCCCGGGCCCGCCGGCGCUUCAGCGGGGCCCGCCGACGGCCUGAGCUACGCCUGCUCAGACUGCGGGGAGCACUUCCCCGAUCUCUUCCACGUCAUGAGCCACAAGGAAGCCCACAUGUCAGAGAAGCCAUAUGGCUGUGAUGCCUGUGGCAAGACCUUCGGCUUCAUUGAGAACCUCAUGUGGCACAAGCUGGUCCACCAGGCCGCCCCGGAACGCCUUCUCCCGCCAACACCCAGUGGUCCCCAGUCUUCUGAUGGCUCUGGCAGCAGCAGCGGCACCGAUGCAUCCAGCGUGCUGGACAACGGACUGGCCGGAGAGGUGGGCACUGCUGUGGCAGCGCUGACCGGGGUGUCUGGGGGUAGUGAGGAUGCGGGUGGGGCGACGGUGACCGGAUCGGGUGGCGGAACCAGUUCAAGCGUUGAGCGCUUCAGCUGUGCCACAUGCGGCCAAAGCUUCAAGCAUUUCCUGGGCCUGGUGACUCAUAAGUAUGUGCACCUGGUGCGCCGGACCCUGGGUUGCGGCCUCUGCGGCCAGAGCUUUGCGGGCGCGUACGACUUGCUCCUGCACCGCCGAAGCCACCGUCAGAAGCGGGGUUUCCGCUGCCCGGUGUGUGGGAAGCGCUUCUGGGAGGCGGCCCUGCUGAUGCGCCACCAGCGCUGCCACACAGAGCAGCGGCCCUACCGGUGCGGCGUGUGCGGGAGAGGUUUCCUGCGCUCCUGGUACCUGCGGCAGCAUCGGGUGGUGCACACGGGCGAGCGCGCCUUCAAGUGCGGCGUGUGUGCCAAGCACUUCGCGCAGUCCUCCAGCCUGGCAGAGCACCGGCGGCUGCACGCUGUAGCCCGACCUCAGCGCUGCGGGGCCUGCGGUAAGACCUUCCGCUACCGCUCCAACCUGCUGGAGCACCAGCGGCUGCACCUGGGUGAGCGCGCCUACCGCUGCGAGCACUGCGGCAAGGGCUUCUUCUACCUGAGCUCCGUGCUGCGCCACCAGCGCGCCCACGAGCCCCCGCGGCCGGAGUUGCGCUGUCCUGCCUGUCUUAAGGCCUUCAAGGAUCCUGGCUACUUCCGGAAGCACCUGGCUGCCCAUCAGGGCGGCAGGCCGUUCCGUUGCUCCUCCUGCGGUGAGGGCUUUGCCAAUACCUACGGCCUGAAGAAACACCGCUUGGUGCACAAGGCUGAGGGUCUUGGGAUGCCUGGAACAGGGGGAAGCGCCUUGGCCGGAAAGGAUCCCUGACCAAAGCGUUUCAUUGUGCCACUCCAAUCAGAUAUUCCCUUCUGGACUCUACCCUUCUGGGGCUGCUGGUCAGACUCUACCCACCCUUCCUUAUUGUUACCCAUUCGAAAGAACUACAGAUGGUCUAGCUUCCUUCCAUUCCCAUGCCCUGCAAACUGAAGAUUAAAUUGCUCCAAUCCCAGACUAUUCUGGCCCUUCCUUCUCCAUCCAUCAGGCAUGAACUUGAUCCUGUCUAGUUGAUCGUCUUCUGUAAACCUCAUUUGCUACCCAGCAACUUUCUGGCUCCAGUGAAUUCUGUGGUGGAGAUGUGUCUGAACUACUCACCACCUCCACUUCCUCUGGGAUCUGGCUGGACAGUGGGCUGUGAACAGAGUUGGAAGGGCACAGGUUGAGUGAGGCUUUGCCAUGUCCCAGGCAUUAGCCUAUGGAUUGGGCAGGUGGAGAGGAGUGAAACAGGGAAGUCGUACUCUCAGGAACUGAUUUGCGAUUCCGAGAUUCCCCUCCAUGAUGCUCUCAGCCACCAUGACCCGGAGCCUCCUGUCUGCCAAGCCCGGACUCGGGCACUAGGGAAACUGAUGAAUUGAUUGGACAUUCACACUGCAGUAGGUGGGGAAGAGUAAACUUUUGGAACUGAUCACAGUCUGCAGACUUGCUGUAGACAGGUUCUCAUGUUGUCAAGGCUGGUUAUGGACUUGCUUUAUAGGUAAAGAUGGGCUUAAUUUUUUUUUUUUUAAAUUUUAAUUUUUGAGACAGGGUCUGUAUGUUACCCUUUGCUGAUCUGGAACUCUCUAGACCAGACUGGCCUUGAGCCCACAGAAAUCCAUGUGCCUCUGCCUCCCUGGUGCUGAGAUUAAAAGUGUGCACCACCAUGGAUGGCUGAUGACUAUUUUUUUUAAUUUAAAUUUUUUAUUUAAAGAAAUGAUGUGUCUGAGUAUUUUUGCCUGCAUUAUGUAUGUGCACCACUUGGUUCCUGGUGGAGGCAGCAGAUCCUCUGAACCUAGAGCCACAGAGGGUUGUGAGCUACCAUGUGGGUGCUGGGAAUCAAACCCUGAUCCUCUGAAAGGCCAGUUAGUGUUCUUAACUGCUGAGCCAUCCCUUCAGCCCAAAAUUUGUAAUUUUUUAAGAUUCUCAAUUCCACACACAUGUGAUUGUUCACACACACACACACACUACUUUGGUUGUAUCUACAGUCCCUCCAGCACAUCCUCUUAACCCCUCUUCCCUUCCCGCUGAACCCUUUCUUUCCACCAAGCCCUCCCACUGUCAUAUCUUUAUAUUUGUGGUGGCCCGUUGCUUUGGUCAGGCUUGCUUGCAUAAACAUGGGCUGAAAGGUUUAUCUACCUGAGCAAGGGCAGCUCACUAGCUUACUGUGCGACUGAGGACUAUGACCCCUUCCCAGGCAGCCAUUAACCAAUUGCCUGUAACUCCUGAGGGAUGGGUGGGGCCUUAUGAGCCUGCUUCCACUUCUGAAGUGCUGGGAAAAUGUGCAGUUGCCAUUAUGGCAUUCUGUGGUGCUGGAGGCUGAACCCAGGACAUCAUAGGUACCCGACAAGCACUCUAGCAGUUGAAUUGCAUCCCCAGUGAAACUGCCCUCAUUAGAGGACAUGUACAAACUCCUUUAGCUGGAAUCCCCACCCCCACCCCCACCCCCACUUACUGUUGAACCUGAACACUGUGUCAGUUGCUUUAUUUUACCUCCCCUUGAAUCUGGCCACUUAUCCACACUGCUUUUGUGGGGAUGGUCCUCUCUGAAAGCAACAGGGCGUUCUGUUUAGUGGCAAGGCUCCAUGUGAGAAAGCAAAGAAAGUAGGACCUGAGAUAUUGCCAUAGUAGUUUAGCCAUGAAGCCACUGUUGGUGAAUUCUACAAGAACAGGUGAUGAAAAGAAGUGCUCAGAUUCCAAAGGUGCUUAACUGCUCAGUAUGAGAGACUGAUCAGAAAUAAGGUGAGGAAAGCUGGUUUAAGGAACCUGUCUAGGUUUCUAGCUCUAGCUGAGGGACCAGUGAGAUGGGAAGCAGGUUCCUUUUUUAAUGCUUGCUGUGUGUUCUGCCUGCAUAUGUGCCUGCAGGCCAGAAGAGGGCACCAGAUCUCAUUAUAGAUGGUUAUGGGCCACCAUGUGGUUGCUGGGAAUUGCUGGGACCUCUGGAAGAGCAGCCACUGCUUUUAACCUCUGAGCCAUCUCUCCAGCCCACAGGCUCUUUUCUUUGGAGGAAAUGGUGUUUUAUUAUGCAUCAUCUGAGGGUCAUCUCUUGGAGAUGCUGGAUGAGAAGAUUAGGGACUCUUCCUUUGAGUAAGCAUGGCAACCUCCAAAACCCCUUAAUUGCAUAAAACUUACAACACAGCCAAACAGCCAAAGCCUAGUCACGCCCCUCUCCAGAAAACAGUGAGGCUUUGAUCUCCCAACUACCCAGACAACUGGAGUACAAGAUUGACAGACAGAAGCCUUUCAGGAAGUCUUUUAAUAGGAACAGACUGGAAGUCCCCACU